rnacentral:rRNA from 1 species
CUGUUUUGGCUAGGGGGUCAUGGCGACUUACCAAACCAAGGCAAACUCCGAAUACCGCAGAGUACAGCUUGGGAGACAGAGCACCGGGUGCUAACGUCCGGACUCAAGAGGGAAACAACCCAGACCGCCAGCUAAGGUCCCUAAAAUUGGCUAAGUGGGAAACGAAGUGGGAAGGCUAAAACAGUCAGGAUGUUGGCUUAGAAGCAGCCAUCAUUUAAAGAAAGCGUAAUAGCUCACUGAUCGAGUCGUCCUGCGCGGAAGAUGUAACGGGGCUAAGCCAGUUACCGAAGCUGCGGAUGUGCAAUUUAUUGCACGUGGUAGGAGAGCGUUCUGUAAGCCUGUGAAGGUGUCUGGUAACGGAUGCUGGAGGUAUCAGAAGUGCGAAUGCUGACAUGAGUAGCGUUAAAAGGGGUGAAAAGCCCCUUCGCCGUAAGCGCAAGGUUUCCUACGCAACGUUCAUCGGCGUAGGGUGAGUCGGCCCCUAAGGCGAGGCAGAGAUGCGUAGCUGAUGGGAAACAGGUCAAUAUUCCUGUACCGAUCAAUAGUGCGAUGUGGGGACGGAGAAGGUUAGCUCAGCCACCUGUUGGAAUAGGUGGUUCAAGCGUGUAGUCGUGCCUGGUAGGCAAAUCCGCCGGGCUUAGAUGAGGCGUGAUAACGAGUGUGCUUGCACACGAAGUGAGUGAUACCCUGCUUCCAGGAAAAGCCACUAAGCUUCAGCUAUUGAUUGACCGUACCGCAAACCGACACUGGUGCGCGAGAUGAGUAUUCUAAGGCGCUUGAGAGAACUCUGGAGAAGGAACUCGGCAAAUUGAUACCGUAACUUCGGGAGAAGGUAUGCCCUCGGUAUGUGAAGUUGAACAAACGGAGCAGAAAAGGGUUGCAAAAAAUUGGUGGCUGCAACUGUUUAAUAAAAACACAGCACUCUGCAAACACGAAAGUGGACGUAUAGGGUGUGACGCCUGCCCGGUGCUGGAAGAUUAAAUGAUGGGGUGCAAGCUCUUGAUUGAAGUCCCAGUAAACGGCGGCCGUAACUAUAACGGUCCUAAGGUAGCGAAAUUCCUUGUCGGGUAAGUUCCGACCUGCACGAAUGGCGUAAUGAUGGCCACACUGUCUCCUCCAGAGACUCAGCGAAGUUGAAAUGUUUGUGAUGAUGCAAUCUCCCCGCGGAAAGACGGAAAGACCCCAUGAACCUUUACUGUAGCUUUGUAUUGGACUUUGAACGGAUCUGUGUAGGAUAGGUGGGAGGCUUUGAAGCCAGGACGCUAGUUCUGGUGGAGCCGACGUUGAAAUACCACCCUGGUGCGUUUGAGGUUCUAACCUAGGUCCCUAAUCGGGAUCGGGGACAGUGCAUGGUAGGCAGUUUGACUGGGGCGGUCUCCUCCCAAAGCGUAACGGAGGAGUUCGAAGGUACGCUAGGUACGGUCGGACAUCGUGCUAAUAGUGCAAUGGCAUAAGCGUGCUUAACUGCGAGACUGACAAGUCGAGCAGAUGCGAAAGCAGGACAUAGUGAUCCGGUGGUUCUGUAUGGAAGGGCCAUCGCUCAACGGAUAAAAGGUACUCUGGGGAUAACAGGCUGAUACCGCCCAAGAGUUCAUAUCGACGGCGGUGUUUGGCACCUCGAUGUCGGCUCAUCUCAUCCUGGGGCUGUAGUCGGUCCCAAGGGUAUGGCUGUUCGCCAUUUAAAGAGGUACGUGAGCUGGGUUUAAAACGUCGUGAGACAGUUUUGUCCCUAUCUUCCGUGGGCGCUGCAGAUUUGAGGAAGCCUGCUCCUAGUACGAGAGGACCGGAGUGGACACACCUCUGGUGUACCUGUUGUCACGCCAGUGGCAUCGCAGGGUAGCUACGUGUGGAAGAGAUAACCGCUGAAAGCAUCUAAGCGGGAAACUCGUUUCAAGAUGAGAUCUGCCGGGGCCUUCGAGCUCCCUGAAGGGUCGUUGUAGACCACGACGUUGAUAGGCUGGGUGUGGAAGCGCAGUAAUGCGUUAAGCUAACCAGUACUAAUUGCCCGUGCGGCUUGACCCUAUAACUUUG